rnacentral:rRNA from 1 species
UACGUAGGUGGCGAGCGUUGUCCGGAUUUACUGGGCGUAAAGGGAGCGUAGGCGGACUUUUAAGUGAGAUGUGAAAUACCCAGGCUCAACUUGGGUGCUGCAUUUCAAACUGGAAGUCUAGAGUGCAGGAGAGGAGAAUGGAAUUCCUAGUGUAGCGGUGAAAUGCGUAGAGAUUAGGAAGAACACCAGUGGCGAAGGCGAUUCUCUGGACUGUAACUGACGCUGAGGCUCGAAAGCGUGGGGAGCAAACAGGAUUAGAUACCCCCGUA